AAGUCGUAACAAGGUUUCCGUAGGUGAACCUGCGGAAGGAUCAUUAUUGAAUAAACCUGAUGUGGUUGUAGCUGGUUCUCUAGGGAGCAUGUGCACGCCCGUCAUCUUUAUAUUUCCACCUGUGCACCUUUUGUAGACCCAGAAGAUUUCGAUUGAAGUCAUUUGGGCCUAUGUUUAUCAUAUACCCCAUAGUAUGUAUUUGAAUGUAAUAGUGGGCUUUUAUGCCUAUAAAACCUAUACAACUUUCAGCAACGGAUCUCUUGGCUCUC
rnacentral:misc_RNA from 1 species